GAUGAACGCUGGCGGCGUGCCUAAUACAUGCAAGUCGAGCGAACAGACGAGGAGCUUGCUCCUCGGACGUGAGCGGCGGACGUGUGAGUAACACGUGUAUAACCUACCUAUAAGACUGGUAUAACUUCGGGAAACCGGAGCUAAUACCGGAUAAUAUAUUGAACCGCAUGGGUCAAUAGUGAAAUACGGUGUUGCGGUCACGUAUAGAUGGAUCCGCGCCGCAUUAGCUAGUUGUUAAGGUAACGGCUUACCAAGGCAACGAUGCGUAGCCGAGCUGAGAGGGUGAUCGGCAACACUGGAACUGGGACAAGGACAAGAAUCCUACGGGAGGCAGCAGUAGGGAAUCUUCCGCAACGGGCGAAAGCAUGACGGAGCAACGCCGCGCGAGUGAUGACGGUCUUGGGAUCGUAAAACUCUGUUAUUAGGGAAGAACCAAUGUGUAAGUAACUAUGCACGUAUUGACGGUACCUAAUAAGAAAGCCACGGCUAACUACGUG
rnacentral:rRNA from 1 species